UGGCGGCAGGCCUAACACAUGCAAGUCGAGCGGAUGAAGAGAGCUUGCUCUCUGAUUCAGCGGCGGACGGGUGAGUAAUGCCUAGGAAUCUGCCUGGUAGUGGGGGACAACGUUUCGAAAGGAACGCUAAUACCGCAUACGUCCUACGGGAGAAAGCAGGGGACCUUCGGGCCUUGCGCUAUCAGAUGAGCCUAGGUCGGAUUAGCUAGUUGGUGGGGUAAUGGCUCACCAAGGCGACGAUCCGUAACUGGUCUGAGAGGAUGAUCAGUCACACUGGAACUGAGACACGGUCCAGACUCCUACGGGAGGCAGCAGUGGGGAAUAUUGGACAAUGGGCGAAAGCCUGAUCCAGCCAUGCCGCGUGUGUGAAGAAGGUCUUCGGAUUGUAAAGCACUUUAAGUUGGGAGGAAGGGUUGUAGAUUAAUACUCUGCAAUUUUGACGUUACCGACAGAAUAAGCACCGGCUAACUCUGUGCCACCAGCCGCGGUAAUACAGAGGGUGCAAGCGUUAAUCGGAAUUACUGGGCGUAAAGCGCGCGUAGGUGGUUUGUUAAGUUGGAUGUGAAAGCCCCGGGCUCA
rnacentral:rRNA from 1 species